rnacentral:rRNA from 1 species
UACGUAGGGUGCAAGCGUUGUCCGGAAUUAUUGGGCGUAAAGGGCUCGUAGGCGGUCCGUCACGUCGGGAGUGAAAACUCGGGGCUCAACCCCGAGCCUGCUUCCGAUACGGGCGGACUAGAGGUAGGUAGGGGAGAACGGAAUUCCUGGUGUAGCGGUGGAAUGCGCAGAUAUCAGGAGGAACACCGGUGGCGAAGGCGGUUCUCUGGGCCUUACCUGACGCUGAGGAGCGAAAGCGUGGGGAGCGAACCGG